AUUUUUUACUAUGACGAGGAUCGCCAUAUGUAUGGGGUUUUCUUGGAAAACCGUGUUUUGUUUUUACAUAUUUUUUGCUCAUUUCAUUGAAAGGCGAUUCUCGUCAUAGUAAAAAAUCAUCAGUUUGCCAAGAUCUAUUAAAUGAGACAUGUUUCAUUUCUGUUGGUGGGUGGGGACAGUGCCCAUACAAAUUUGCCCAUGGUCCUUUCUUCAAUUU